AUUGAACGCUGGCGGCAGGCCUAACACAUGCAAGUCGAACGAGUGGCGGACGGGUGAGUAAUGUCUGGGAAACUGCCUGAUGGAGGGGGAUAACUACUGGAAACGGUAGCUAAUACCGCAUACCAUCGGAUGUGCCCAGAUGGGAUUAGCUAGUAGGUGGGGUAAAGGCUCACCUAGGCGACGAUCCCUAGCUGGUCUGAGAGGAUGACCAGCCACCCAGAAACGUAGACACGGUCCAGACUCCGACGGGAGGCAGCAGUGGGGAAUAUUGAACAAUGGGCGCAAGCCUGAUGCAGCCAUGCCGCGUGUAUGAAGAAGGCCUUCGGGGUGUAAAGUACUUUCAGCGGGGAGGCGUUACCCGCAGAAGAAGCACCGGCUAACUCCGUGCCAGCAGCAGCGGUAAUAC
rnacentral:rRNA from 1 species